UACAGGGGGGGCAAGCGUUGUUCGGAAUUACUGGGCGUAAAGGGCUCGUAGGCGGCCAACUAAGUCACACGUGAAAUCCCCAGGCUUAACCUGGGAACUGCGUGUGAUACUGGAUGGCUUGAAUCCGGGAGAGGGAUGCGGAAUUCCAGGUGUAGCGGUGAAAUGCGUAGAUAUCUGGAGGAACACCGGUGGCGAAGGCGGCAUCCUGGACCGGCAUUGACGCUGAACAGCGAAAGCCAGGGGAGCAAACGGG
rnacentral:rRNA from 1 species